ensembl:snRNA U1 U1 spliceosomal RNA
AAACUUACCUGUGUGAGGAAGUAUCUUGAUCAGGAAAGUGAUUCUCCCAAAGCAAAGUUCAGCUUUUUCACUCCGGAGGAAUGACCUCUGCUAUUUUUCCAAAUAUGAGAAACUUGACUUGAGGCUCUGUGGAAGAUACAUUUUCUGUCCU